UUCCUUACCUGGUAGGGGAGAUACCAGGAUCGCCAAGGUCUUUUCCCAGGGGGAGGCUCACCCCAGUGUAUUUCUGGAGCACUAACCCCUGCCAUUUCCACAAAUGCAGGAAACUCGAUUGCAUAAUUUGUGGGAGUGGGAGACUGCAUUUGUGCUUUCCCCUA